AGAAUUUUUCUAAAAUUAGGAAUUUUCAAGCAUUGAUAAUACAGAUUUUUUUUCAAUAAUUAAAAAAUGCAAUUCACUUGACAUUAUCAUUCUUCAACUGGGUCAACUGUUAUCGUUAUCUUCAUUCGAUCUUUCUACCUGACCUCUGACGCUACCUGAUUGAUUCUUACAAAUCAGACAACGCAUUUCGUUCGUCAGUUGUUUCCGCCAUUUUGAAACAACUGCUUGGUGACAACAAACGACAAAGUGUCAAGCCAAGAAAAAGACAAAGUUUUCUUUCAGUUCAGUUUUAAAUUUCUUUCAAGUUCACCUAUUGUGAAGUUUACUGCACCAGAGAAAUUUACAGUUGAUUUCAAAAACUUCGGUUUUUUACGAAGAAGACGAAUGCCUUAUGUUAUUGUAUCUGGAAAUUUGAACCCUAACAAAAACGGCGUAGCUGGACAACCGUCAAUCCCUCCAGGAUGGAGAGUAGGAAUUUCUGGAUUAAAAGCUUGUGAUUUGGAAGAUUUGAAACGGUUUACCUAUGAACAGGGGAGUGAUGUGCACACAGUUUCAUUUCGUCAUCACCCAGUUGUGCUUUUAAAUGCAUUAGAAGUGUUGGGAUACAGAGUCAUAAGUUCAUUUCAUGUUAAUCCAGAUAGUUGUGUGUGGACUAUGCGUAAAGAUUUUCCAGAACCUUGCCCUGAGCCAUCUGAUGAAGAAGAGUAAAUAUUUGACCAAAUUAUCUAUGUGAAAUAGUCUUAACUUUAAAUCAAUAAUUAUAGGAGUGAUUCUGCCCCAGAGAUUGAUUAAA